rnacentral:rRNA from 1 species
UACGGAGGGGGCUAGCGUUGUUCGGAAUUACUGGGCGUAAAGCGCGCGUAGGCGGAUCUGCAAGUCGGGGGUGAAAUCCCGAGGCUCAACCUCGGAACUGCCUUCGAUACUGCGGGUCUCGAGUCCGGGAGAGGUGAGUGGAAUUCCUAGUGUAGAGGUGAAAUUCGUAGAUAUCAGGAGGAAUACCGGUGGCGAAGGCGGCUCUCUGGACCACAACUGACGCUGAGGCGCGAAAGCUAGGGGAGCAAACAGG